GGGUUGUGAGGUUAAGCGACUAAGCGUACACGGUGGAUGCCCUGGCAGUCAGAGGCGAUGAAGGACGUGCUAAUCUGCGAUAAGCGUCGGUAAGGUGAUAUGAACCGUUAUAACCGGCGAUUUCCGAAUGGGGAAACCCAGUGUGUUUCGACACACUAUCAUUAACUGAAUCCAUAGGUUAAUGAGGCGAACCGGGGGAACUGAAACAUCUAAGUACCCCGAGGAAAAGAAAUCAACCGAGAUUCCCCCAGUAGCGGCGAGCGAACGGGGAGCAGCCCAGAGCCUGAAUCAGUGUGUGUGUUAGUGGAAGCGUCUGGAAAGGCGCGCGAUACAGGGUGACAGCCCCGUACACAAAAAUGCACAUACUGUGAGCUCGAUGAGUAGGGCGGGACACGUGGUAUCCUGUCUGAAUAUGGGGGGACCAUCCUCCAAGGCUAAAUACUCCUGACUGACCGAUAGUGAACCAGUACCGUGAGGGAAAGGCGAAAAGAACCCCGGCGAGGGGAGUGAAAAAGAACCUGAAACCGUGUACGUACAAGCAGUGGGAGCACGCUUCGGCGUGUGACUGCGUACCUUUUGUAUAAUGGGUCAGCGACUUAUAUUCUGUAGCAAGGUUAACCGAAUAGGGGAGCCGAAGGGAAACCGAGUCUUAACUGGGCGUUAAGUUGCAGGGUAUAGACCCGAAACCCGGUGAUCUAGCCAUGGGCAGGUUGAAGGUUGGGUAACACUAACUGGAGGACCGAACCGACUAAUGUUGAAAAAUUAGCGGAUGACUUGUGGCUGGGGGUGAAAGGCCAAUCAAACCGGGAGAUAGCUGGUUCUCCCCGAAAGCUAUUUAGGUAGCGCCUCGUGAAUUCAUCUCCGGGGGUAGAGCACUGUUUCGGCAAGGGGGUCAUCCCGACUUACCAACCCGAUGCAAACUGCGAAUACCGGAGAAUGUUAUCACGGGAGACACACGGCGGGUGCUAACGUCCGUCGUGAAGAGGGAAACAACCCAGACCGCCAGCUAAGGUCCCAAAGUCAUGGUUAAGUGGGAAACGAUGUGGGAAGGCCCAGACAGCCAGGAUGUUGGCUUAGAAGCAGCCAUCAUUUAAAGAAAGCGUAAUAGCUCACUGGUCGAGUCGGCCUGCGCGGAAGAUGUAACGGGGCUAAACCAUGCACCGAAGCUGCGGCAGCGACACUAUGUGUUGUUGGGUAGGGGAGCGUUCUGUAAGCCUGUGAAGGUGUACUGUGAGGUAUGCUGGAGGUAUCAGAAGUGCGAAUGCUGACAUAAGUAACGAUAAAGCGGGUGAAAAGCCCGCUCGCCGGAAGACCAAGGGUUCCUGUCCAACGUUAAUCGGGGCAGGGUGAGUCGCCCCCUAAGGCGAGGCCGAAAGGCGUAGUCGAUGGGAAACAGGUUAAUAUUCCUGUACUUGGUGUUACUGCGAAGGGGGGACGGAGAAGGCUAUGUUGGCCGGGCGACGGUUGUCCCGGUUUAAGCGUGUAGGCUGGUUUUCCAGGCAAAUCCGGAAAAUCAAGGCUGAGGCGUGAUGACGAGGCACUACGGUGCUGAAGCAACAAAUGCCCUGCUUCCAGGAAAAGCCUCUAAGCAUCAGGUAACAUUAAAUCGUACCCCAAACCGACACAGGUGGUCAGGUAGAGAAUACCAAGGCGCUUGAGAGAACUCGGGUGAAGGAACUAGGCAAAAUGGUGCCGUAACUUCGGGAGAAGGCACGCUGAUAUGUAGGUGAAGUCCCUCGCGGAUGGAGCUGAAAUCAGUCGAAGAUACCAGCUGGCUGCAACUGUUUAUUAAAAACACAGCACUGUGCAAACACGAAAGUGGACGUAUACGGUGUGACGCCUGCCCGGUGCCGGAAGGUUAAUUGAUGGGGUUAGCGGUAACGCGAAGCUCUUGAUCGAAGCCCCGGUAAACGGCGGCCGUAACUAUAACGGUCCUAAGGUAGCGAAAUUCCUUGUCGGGUAAGUUCCGACCUGCACGAAUGGCGUAAUGAUGGCCAGGCUGUCUCCACCCGAGACUCAGUGAAAUUGAACUCGCUGUGAAGAUGCAGUGUACCCGCGGCAAGACGGAAAGACCCCGUGAACCUUUACUAUAGCUUGACACUGAACAUUGAGCCUUGAUGUGUAGGAUAGGUGGGAGGCUUUGAAGUGUGGACGCCAGUCUGCAUGGAGCCGACCUUGAAAUACCACCCUUUAAUGUUUGAUGUUCUAACGUUGACCCGUGAUCCGGGUUGCGGACAGUGUCUGGUGGGUAGUUUGACUGGGGCGGUCUCCUCCUAAAGAGUAACGGAGGAGCACGAAGGUUGGCUAAUCCUGGUCGGACAUCAGGAGGUUAGUGCAAUGGCAUAAGCCAGCUUGACUGCGAGCGUGACGGCGCGAGCAGGUGCGAAAGCAGGUCAUAGUGAUCCGGUGGUUCUGAAUGGAAGGGCCAUCGCUCAACGGAUAAAAGGUACUCCGGGGAUAACAGGCUGAUACCGCCCAAGAGUUCAUAUCGACGGCGGUGUUUGGCACCUCGAUGUCGGCUCAUCACAUCCUGGGGCUGAAGUAGGUCCCAAGGGUAUGGCUGUUCGCCAUUUAAAGUGGUACGCGAGCUGGGUUUAGAACGUCGUGAGACAGUUCGGUCCCUAUCUGCCGUGGGCGCUGGAGAACUGAGGGGGGCUGCUCCUAGUACGAGAGGACCGGAGUGGACGCAUCACUGGUGUUCGGGUUGUCAUGCCAAUGGCACUGCCUGGUAGCUAAAUGCGGAAGAGAUAAGUGCUGAAAGCAUCUAAGCACGAAACUUGCCCCGAGAUGAGUUCUCCCUGACUCCUUGAGAGUCCUGAAGGAACGUUGAAGACGACGACGUUGAUAGGCCGGGUGUGUAAGCGCAGCGAUGCGUUGAGCUAACCGGUACUAAUGAACCGUGAGGCUUAACCUUACAACGCCGAAGGUGUUU
rnacentral:rRNA from 1 species